ensembl:lncRNA
CCCCUGCGACGAAGUGUCCUCUUUUUCACAAACUCAAAUAUGGUCACCCUAUUAUAACACUUUUGGACAUUGAUGCUAGGUUUACGUCCUCUUUUUUGUCCAGGUAAAAGAGGACUUGUCCGCCCGGGUAAAAUAGGACGUCUGGUCACCCUAGCUUAGCCGCUAUCAAGACAUCUCGUUAGCGAUAUCAGACAUCUUGUUAUAACGCGCUUGGACAAUGAUGCUAGUAAUAAUCGAGUAGCUAGUAAUAACGUCGUAUACACUUCUUUGUAAUGUUAUUGUGAUCGCUAUCUGGCUAACUUGCCACCCAAGCUCCACUAGUCUCAGGAUAUUCCAGAUAUUUCCAAGGAAUUUAGCGAUAGUUGACUUUGUCUGUUAGCAUUCCCUUACAGCCAGUUGGUCUGUGGUUCAUGUUUCGUUAGCUUAGUAUGCUACUUGUGUGUUACCUGACUUGAAUGCCGUGAUUUGUGAAAACAUAUAUAAAGAUGUAGCGGCAAACAUACUGAAUUGGUUCUUUCUAUCAAAAGCAGUAGGGAAUGUCUACUCCCAGCAAGGGACAUGCACAGCCACCACCGCCGCCUGUAUCUAGUAUUUCAGAAGAGUCCGACCGAGAUGGGGACAAAGAAUUCGCUAUGCAAGGUGUUCAACCGUUGGGCAAAGAAACCGAAGCGAUUGGUGUGCUAGAAUCUAGCAUGCACUCCUUGAGCAUUGCUGAAGAGCAGCAGCAUGACUCUCUGGAUGAGGAGGAGGCGAAUUAUAUGAGGAAUAGCAUUAUUGACAUGGAUGAUUGCUGGGAGGAUCCUAAUCAGAAGGGCUUGGAAGAAGAUUGGGACAGCUCUGAUGAAGACUAUAGUCCUUUUCUUCAUCUACGUGCCCCAGCUAUGACUGCCAACAUCAACCAACUCCUGG